rnacentral:lncRNA from 1 species
CCUCCUUGCCAACGACAUUACUACGACACUGCUAGUUUUUCGCCUAUUUUAAAAAUUCACCUUCGUUUUUGGAUAGGCCCUGAGUGAAGCCUACGCGUGGGCUGACUAGUAAUGCGGCCGAAUGGCUCAAUGAAUCUGCAUAAUUAAAAAAAAAGUAGAUCAGAGCGAGCAUAUCGGCGACUGUUUCGGCUUUCGAAGAUCAUUGUAGGCCUUUCUAAAGUGUUAAAGAUCUCAUUCAGUAGAGGCUGUCUGCAGAAUUGUCAGCUUUUGCGAGACAGACGAGAGCUUAGCGUAAAGGCGAUACCUCGCGCGCCGUCUAGCUCAAGCUACGCAUGCGCAUCGCAGCGCCCGGUUAAGCCGCCGGCCUCAACCACGGGACACCGAGCCCAAACACCCGCUCGUCGAUUGACUGGGUCCUCUAAACUCAGGUAGUUCCCAACUCAGUUACCUCUGUCGCAAAUUCGAACACUCGACAAUACGCGAUGCUUGCUAAUAUUUUUCUACGCUAGACCACUACAACGAGCCGUUGGAAACGCUAUAAAAUGUCAACGCCCGUUUGAAAGACAUCAAUUGUUUCAGUGUUGACAUUUGUAAUGUAAACGUGGCAACGGUAGACGUGAUCAUUCGAAAAGAACAGCAGCUUGCAGAUUCGCAAUGAAUGGUUUAGACAAACCAGUGACCCAACCAGGAUUUCGGCCAGAUUUGGUUAAAAACCCUUCGCCGCUAGCCUCCCUCCCGAAUAAGGGCGAUGUCCCAAAUAAGCUUGGGCGAAGUGACAGUGAUGAAAUUAUUCGAGAGCUGAAACUCGGAUUUUUUGAGAAGCUGCGCUUCAAACUUAUGUCACGUGAGGAAAGAGAAGCAUACCUUAUAGAGAAGGUUAACAAAGAAAAGGAGCGACGUAAAAAAAGGGCGUUACUCAAUGAUGGCAAAUAAAUCCUUGAGCAGUGUUCAAACGAAGAUGAUGAUUUCUGCUUGGUGGCCUGGUGGAUAAUUGCAUACAGUGGAAGCCGGUUAAACGCUUUCUACGUUUCAUACAAUGUAUGAGGUGCGAUAUCGCAAACUAUCGUAUAAUCCUAAUCGUGGUGCAGUGAUAACCAAGAUACAGCCUAACGCUAUCAGCAAGGGGUCAUAAAAUGCAAGCCCAGCGACAGAACUGUUCGCGAGGUUCGUGGCAUAUUUUCAGGAGUAUUUGGAUCAAGAGAAGCCCGGCGUCGUGCUGUAAAUACUGCAGUAUCUCGUCAAUCGUGCUAUAAAGUAGUCUGAGAUCAUUGUGUCUGUCUAAUGAUAAAGGGUGCAUGUUAUAUUUAUAUGAAGUAUAUAAUUCGCCUGUGAUGAUAAAAAUGUCAUACCGUUAAAAUUAAAAUGUGAUCGAAGUAAUGGUUCUUGACAUUGCUUAACGUACGCAUAGAUUGAAGCUUCGUAUACGCUUCUUUAUAUAAUAAUAUCUUUUUCAAAAGCAUAUCCACAUUACCUGUUAUAUACGAAAGACGUACAUUUGUUGAACUUCGUGAAAAAAUCCUAUAUUUAGAUGCGAACUUAAAUCCUGAUAGGACAACUUCUGGUUAAUUUAAUGGAUAAAUUGCUAGUAAAAUAGGAUUAUAAAAACUGGUCAUUUUAAAUUAACAGAAUCAGAUAGUUCAUGUGGGUAAUUUACGAAUAUAAAUUUCAGAAGAGCGUACAUCCUAAAUGCGUCGGGGUUUGGCUCAUAAUAACCUGGAGCCAUAACUAAUAUACUUCUAAAGAUAAUUUAGCUACCCCCUGUUCUAAUAUGUAAUUUUCGUAAAGAAAUAGAGUAAAAGCAUUACUCUAUACUGAGGUAGACAUGAUACGUAAUACGUCUUACCUGGCCAAGUAAAUAACAUUCAAUGUCAGGUUUUGUUUAGAGUCUGUUUACAUUCUGUCUGAUGUUUACAUAAUGGUGUUACAUAUCUGGGUGUUUAAGAGUACGAAUAAUGACAAUUUCUUUCGAAGUUUUGAUACGAACUUUCCUAUCAAGACUGAGCUGUACAAUUGUUGCUUUUCAGGGCCAUGUCACAGAACUUUACAUGUCAUUGGCUUCAUGUCUACGUUGACGUUUGAUUCCUUAUAAAAUAUUAUUGCCACUAAAAUAUUCAAAGGCCAACACUGUAUAUAACUAAUAGAAAAGUUUUUCUUAUUCGUAUUGUAUAAAAAUCAGUCUCGAAACGAAAACUAGGCCUUUAGUCGAGGCAAUUGUGAUGAAAAACUCUGCGUUAUGUAGAAAAGUAAACUAGGUUAGGUUUGAAAUUAGCCAUAAGAUAAGCUUUCUCUAAAACCUUAGCUUACUAUUCAGGAUCGUAUUAUUGUUUUCGUUUCGAUAGAACUUUCAAUUAGGGACAUGCGUCAGAGUCCCGAUGUUGCACUAAUGAGACUAACUAGUAAGGCUAGUUGGUUGCCAUCUUUCGCUAACCUGACAGUGUUUCCUAGAAUCACGCUAAUAAUAGGCUGAUAGAAUGGUAUAAAAAUCAAUCGUAGUUUAGGUAGAGUUAAAGGUCUCGCAAAUAUCGCAAGAAGUAGGUUACAUUGUAAUUACUGUUUUGUCAUCUCCACACUUAUUCUUGUUAUUACUACGGCCUAAAAGGUACAUGUUUUUCUGCAAAGUUACUUCUCUACUUAGACAAUGAGAAGAAUUUUCUAUUAAAUCGUGUGUUAAAUCAGACGGUUUUAACUUCGCCAAUGCUUCGAACGUUUUUCUAAGUUCUAAUUUUAAGGGUUGGCUAUUUUUCGGUUGUUAGUGAAUGUCAUAUAAGUUUAAAAUCUAUCUAUCUAAAACUCUGCUUAAGUGGCCCAUAAAGACACAUCUACAUUAUAGAAAUAUAAUACGAUUGGCUUAGUGAUUCUUGGCUACACUUUUUUUUUCAAGAGAUUAACACUCGAACCAUUGUUGCCACGUUAAGCAGCGAUGCUUAUAAAAACGAUGGCACCAGAAGCUGGUAAAGCGAGUCGUCGAUCAUGAACUCCUAAGACCUUUUGUCGAAUUAAGCUUUCUUCAAUAUAUCUUCUGUUAGUUGUUAUUAAGAAAAACGCGAGCUGAAUAUGCCUUAUAAAAGAGGUGAGACCGCUGGUAUUGUUGCCGCCGCAUAAACGCAGCUCAGUCUAUACCCAAAAGGAGCUAAAGACUGAGUUGAGGUACUUUACCUUUUAUUAUACCAUGAUUUUAUGAUGUGCGUACUUUUUUCCCUGAUUAUUAGAGAAUUUACGUACAGUCCAGCUAAAACAGGUCACUACUUAACCGGAACUGAGGUAACAUGUUUUGCUAUUCAAUUUCUUCUUAAACCUUAUUUAUUACAAGCACAUCAUGAAACGUAGCUAAAAAAGUAAUAGAAUCAUUUGAGUGUGUGAAAUUUUUGGCAGACACGUUAAAAGUACUACCAUUCCCCAUUUUAACCUUUUACAAGUUGAUAAGAUUUUGAUUUUACCUUUUUCGAGCGAUUUGGGGAGUGAUUUUCUUGCAUACGUGAUUUUUCGAUGUUGAGCCUCUUACAGUCUAGGCCGCAACAACACCAUCAGGACGAUUAACUUCGAAAUCUCUCGACCCUCUAGUAACGAUAUUGCCAUAACAUAGUCUUUUGCAGUACAAUAGAUUUUGUUUAUUGUUGUCAAACUACUGUAUAUCGGCUGAACUAAAGAAAAAUGGCACCGCUAGCAUACGGUACUUCUGUGAAGUGAUCAAAGUAACAAUCUCGCUUCAUUUUUUAACGUAAUCUAUCGGGCGAUUUAAUAAAGAAUAGAAAGUUGAUUGCGGGACACUUUUGAAUAUACUAUUCAAAAAUCCGUGCUAGCUGUACCUAAUUAUAUUUGCUUGUAGCUGGACUAGAACAGUAACGAAGAAAAACUCAGUGUCUUUUUUUCUGUUUUUAGCUUGCACCUCGAUAAGCAUCGAGCCGUUUUUUUUACGGGCUGUGCUGAAGUUACUUAGAAUCUAUAUCCAAAUUUAAAAUUGAUGUGAAUGGCAUCGCCUUAUCAAAUAUAUAUAAUGAUCGGAUUGCAUUAAAAAAUCUGGUAAUUUCAAUUGUAUUUAUGUAUAUCAUCACCCAGACGACCGCCAGAGGUCUCUUAUUCUUACUAUGGAAACGAGGUAUACCAUCUUUGCCUAUAUCUUCGCUUCGUUUUGAUAAAAUUACAAAAGUGUGGAGUUCGAUAUUGUUUAUCAGUUAUAGAGAAGUUCGUCGUUUUACCACUCCUGAUUUCCUGAAAAUGCUAAAUGUGUAAAAACUGUUUGCAUGGAGGGCGAAUGACUUCUACAGCGUAAAAAGAAUGCAGAAUAAUCGUUUCAAUAAAAAAGAUUAGAUAAACGUAAUCUUUUCAUAUAUAUUGAAAACGAAGCGGUCUUUGAGGCCGACGCUUAUAAACAAAAUCUUGCCUUGUCGAAGACUUGGCCAUAGAAAACAUAUCUUCAAAG